UUGCUGUGAUGAGUAUGCAGAACUCAUGAAAGUUUAUGCAGUAAUUGCUUGGUGAAAUUCAAUCCUGAGCGGUUAACUGAACAC